CUUCGGGCCGCUUGGUAACUAAGGGCGGCUGAGAGACGGCGGUGUGACUGGAUAGCGUAGGGUUAGAGAGACCUGCAGCGGGGUCGGGGAGUCAGGUGCGCGCCUGAGGAAUGAAGCUUGUCCCCUUGGUCUGCUGUGGUGUUUUGGGUGUUUGUGGAGAAUCCCUGGGAGUGAAGAGGAUGGGCUGCAGCGUAAAUGAAAGGAUGUAAGUGAUGCUGCUACGGAAGCCUGGAGGAAGCUAUUAUGAUGUCUUCACUCUGGCUGAUAACGGUUGUUAGAUUUUCCAACUGUCUCAAGUGUGGCAUGCUUUGGGAGGCACCCAAAGGAGGGAGAUAUUUGAUAACCCCCGAUGAUCCUUCCUAUUAUGUACGGUUGGCUGCCCUGUCUUUAGAAUAAAGUGCCCUUCCAUACAAA